CGGCGUGCCUAACACAUGCAAGUCGUACGAGAAAGUUGGCUUCGGCCGAUGAGUAAAGUGGCGCACGGGUGAGUAAUGCGUGGAUAAUCUGCCCUUUAGUUGGGAAUAACGUACCGAAAGGUGCGCUAAUACCUGAUAAUACUGCAUAACUACUGUUGUGUAGUCAAAGAAGGCCUCUGUUUACAAGCUUUUGCUGAAGGAUGAGUCCGCGUACCAUUAGCUGGUUGGUGGGGUAAUGGCCUACCAAGGCUACGAUGGUUAGCUGGUCUGAGAGGAUGAUCAGCCACACUGGAACUGAGACACGGUCCAGACUCCUACGGGAGGCAGCAGUGAGGAAUAUUGCGCAAUGGGGGCAACCCUGACGCAGCAACGCCGCGUGAGUGAGGAAGGUUUUCGGACUGUAAAGCUCUGUCGAGCGGGAAGAAGUGUACCAUGGCUAAUAUCCAUGAUAUUUGACGGUACCGCUAGAGGAAGCACCGGCUAACUCCGUG
rnacentral:rRNA from 1 species